rnacentral:sRNA from 1 species
AGAAUCAGGGAGAGAACUCCAUUUAUCAAACAUUGGAGAUGCUCUUAGAUGUGGAUGAAUAAAACGGAAGCUUAACAUGCUUUCCAAUUUGACAUGCAUUACAAGUCAAUGUGAGAGUCUUU